rnacentral:rRNA from 1 species
AUGACGACCACCAACUCUCUCUUCUCCCUCGCCCCGCUCCGCCUCACCCAUCGCCGUCUCAUCUCCCGCACCCCCGGCACAGCCUCACGCUUCCGGAAUCCGGACGGUCGCCUCGAAGGAGGCAGUCGCCUCAACCGUCCCCGGGCCCGGUGGGGGCGCGGGGAGCGGGCUACUCUCGGUGCUCGACCGGGCGCUCACCAACAAGGAGCGGCGCUGCCACGAGCGCGCCCAGGUGCGGCGCAAGGGCAUGGAGGCAGAGAGGUCCGCCGUAGAGGGGAUCCAGGUGCCGGAGAGGAGGAAGAAGGGUGCGAUGAGUGGUGUGAGUUGGAAUCUGCACAAGCUAAGAAUCAGGCACUAAGGGAUGUUGGGGCUGUUGUUCCUACUUCAUUUGAAGCUCUUAAAAGGAUUAAGGAUUUCAGAAGCUGUGUUAGGAAGCUCGACAUGCUUCAGGAAAUUUUAAGACGAAAAAGGCCCCCUUGGCUAGCCUCCAUGGAGGCCGAGCUCCAAAGGCAAUUUUCGGGUAAUAAUGUUAAUAAAGAAGAUAUAAAAAAUUUUAGGUGCUUUGGAAUCCAUGGGUGUACACCUGCCCUGCAGUCGGUAUCGAGAAAUUCUGCUCCAUUGCUUUUCUACUACAUUGAGGACUAUGAUCAUUUGUUUCAAAGAGAGGCCGACAACCACGUCUCUACUUCUAGAUAA